rnacentral:rRNA from 1 species
GGUUAAGCGACUAAGCGUACACGGUGGAUGCCUUGGCAGUCAGAGGCGAUGAAGGGCGUGCUAAUCUGCGAUAAGCGCCGGUAAGGUGAUAUGAACCGUUAUAACCGGCGAUACCCGAAUGGGGAAACCCAGUGUGACUCGUCACACUAUCAUUAACUGAAUCCAUAGGUUAAUGAGGCGAACCGGGGGAACUGAAACAUCUAAGUACCCCGAGGAAAAGAAAUCAACCGAGAUUCCCCCAGUAGCGGCGAGCGAACGGGGAGGAGCCCAGAGCCUGAAUCAGCAUGUGUGUUAGUGGAAGCGUCUGGAAAGGCGCGCGAUACAGGGUGACAGCCCCGUACACAAAAGCGCAUGUGCUGUGAGCUCGAUGAGUAGGGCGGGACACGUGGUAUCCUGUCUGAAUAUGGGGGGACCAUCCUCCAAGGCUAAAUACUCCUGACUGACCGAUAGUGAACCAGUACCGUGAGGGAAAGGCGAAAAGAACCCCGGCGAGGGGAGUGAAAAAGAACCUGAAACCGUGUACGUACAAGCAGUGGGAGCCCCACCACUAAGCCAGUGGUGAACUCCACAUCCGCAUCCUUUGCUGAGGAUACGGUUAACGGAGCGAAAGCGACGUUCAACCGCAAAACAAGCAGAGGGGGCUUAGUGGUGGGGUGACUGCGUACCUUUUGUAUAAUGGGUCAGCGACUUAUAUUCUGUAGCAAGGUUAACCGUAUAGGGGAGCCGGAGGGAAACCGAGUCUUAAUUGGGCGUUAAGUUGCAGGGUAUAGACCCGAAACCCGGUGAUCUAGCCAUGGGCAGGUUGAAGGUUGGGUAACACUAACUGGAGGACCGAACCGACUAAUGUUGAAAAAUUAGCGGAUGACCUGUGGCUGGGGGUGAAAGGCCAAUCAAACCGGGAGAUAGCUGGUUCUCCCCGAAAGCUAUUUAGGUAGCGCCUCGUGAAUUCAUCUCCGGGGGUAGAGCACUGUUUCGGCUAGGGGGCCAUCCCGGCUUACCAACCCGAUGCAAACUGCGAAUACCGGAGAAUGUUAUCACGGGAGACACACGGCGGGUGCUAACGUCCGUCGUGAAGAGGGAAACAACCCAGACCGCCAGCUAAGGUCCCAAAGUCAUGGUUAAGUGGGAAACGAUGUGGGAAGGCCCAGACAGCCAGGAUGUUGGCUUAGAAGCAGCCAUCAUUUAAAGAAAGCGUAAUAGCUCACUGGUCGAGUCGGCCUGCGCGGAAGAUGUAACGGGGCUAAACCAUGCACCGAAGCUGCGGCAGCGACGCUGAUGCGUUGUUGGGUAGGGGAGCGUUCUGUAAGCCUGCGAAGGUGACCUGUGAGGGUUGCUGGAGGUAUCAGAAGUGCGAAUGCUGACAUAAGUAACGAUAAAGCGGGUGAAAAGCCCGCUCGCCGGAAGACCAAGGGUUCCUGUCCAACGUUAAUCGGGGCAGGGUGAGUCGACCCCUAAGGCGAGGCCGAAAGGCGUAGUCGAUGGGAAACGGGUUAAUAUUCCCGUACUUGGUGUUACUGCGAAGGGGGGACGGAGAAGGCUAUGUUGGCCGGGCGACGGUUGUCCCGGUUUAAGCGUGUAGGUGUGUGUUCCAGGUAAAUCCGGUUCACUUUAACACUGAGGCGUGACGACGAGGCACUACGGUGCUGAAGCAACAAAUGCCCUGCUUCCAGGAAAAGCCUCUAAGCAUCAGGUAACACGAAAUCGUACCCCAAACCGACACAGGUGGUCAGGUAGAGAAUACCAAGGCGCUUGAGAGAACUCGGGUGAAGGAACUAGGCAAAAUGGUGCCGUAACUUCGGGAGAAGGCACGCUGACACGUAGGUGAAGUGAUUUACUCAUGGAGCUGAAGUCAGUCGAAGAUACCAGCUGGCUGCAACUGUUUAUUAAAAACACAGCACUGUGCAAACACGAAAGUGGACGUAUACGGUGUGACGCCUGCCCGGUGCCGGAAGGUUAAUUGAUGGGGUCAGCGCAAGCGAAGCUCCUGAUCGAAGCCCCGGUAAACGGCGGCCGUAACUAUAACGGUCCUAAGGUAGCGAAAUUCCUUGUCGGGUAAGUUCCGACCUGCACGAAUGGCGUAAUGAUGGCCAGGCUGUCUCCACCCGAGACUCAGUGAAAUUGAACUCGCUGUGAAGAUGCAGUGUACCCGCGGCAAGACGGAAAGACCCCGUGAACCUUUACUAUAGCUUGACACUGAACAUUGAGCCUUGAUGUGUAGGAUAGGUGGGAGGCUUUGAAGUGUGGACGCCAGUCUGCAUGGAGCCGACCUUGAAAUACCACCCUUUAAUGUUUGAUGUUCUAACGUGGACCCGUAAUCCGGGUUGCGGACAGUGUCUGGUGGGUAGUUUGACUGGGGCGGUCUCCUCCUAAAGAGUAACGGAGGAGCACGAAGGUUGGCUAAUCCUGGUCGGACAUCAGGAGGUUAGUGCAAUGGCAUAAGCCAGCUUGACUGCGAGCGUGACGGCGCGAGCAGGUGCGAAAGCAGGUCAUAGUGAUCCGGUGGUUCUGAAUGGAAGGGCCAUCGCUCAACGGAUAAAAGGUACUCCGGGGAUAACAGGCUGAUACCGCCCAAGAGUUCAUAUCGACGGCGGUGUUUGGCACCUCGAUGUCGGCUCAUCACAUCCUGGGGCUGAAGUAGGUCCCAAGGGUAUGGCUGUUCGCCAUUUAAAGUGGUACGCGAGCUGGGUUUAGAACGUCGUGAGACAGUUCGGUCCCUAUCUGCCGUGGGCGCUGGAGAACUGAGGGGGGCUGCUCCUAGUACGAGAGGACCGGAGUGGACGCAUCACUGGUGUUCGGGUUGUCAUGCCAAUGGCACUGCCCGGUAGCUAAAUGCGGAAGAGAUAAGUGCUGAAAGCAUCUAAGCACGAAACUUGCCCCGAGAUGAGUUCUCCCUGAGACUUAGAGUCUCCUGAAGGAACGUUGAAGACGACGACGUUGAUAGGCCGGGUGUGUAAGCGCAGCGAUGCGUUGAGCUAACCGGUACUAAUGAACCGUGAGGCUUAACCUU